rnacentral:lncRNA from 1 species
AGAAUACCACUGGGUAAUCCACUAAGCAAUCAAACCAGAUUACAAAACACAAACCACCAAAGUAGUAACCUUGAACCCUUCAAGAAACACACUAGCUUUGGCAAAAAACACCAAGAGUAUUGAUCUUGAAUGCCUCAAGAACACACAAUACUCCUUGGUAACACACCACCAGAAAUACAAUAGGUUUAGAAAGGAUUACACCUGAUCACAGUACAAACUGAAUUGAAUACAAUUGCAAUCCUAUUCCACUCUAUCUUGAAAACCCAAAGCUUAAUGUGAAUCUCGAAAUCUUAGAAUCAAUUAUGUCAAACUCAAUUUCUCAAAACUUUUUCUUACUCAUUUGAGAACAUAAACAAACCAUUUAUAUUUUUCAAAGAUUGGUCAAAGCAAUUAAUGAAGGAGCGUAUUCAGUUGGAAAACAUUUAAAGCAGAUUCACCAUUCAAAACUGAAUUCUGUUAGGAUUUUCAAAGAAACAAUCGGUUGAAACCACAAAACAACCGAUUGUUUGGCUUGACAGUUAAGUCAACCAAACCAAAAUAGUUUUCAACCUUUUUCAAAACUCCUAAGAGUAAAACAACCGCUUGAUUCGACAAAACAACAGGUUGUUUUUCACUUAGUUGGAAAAACACUUGAUUUAACAUCAGUUUUAGAUUCAACAGAGGAGUGGAUCACACUUUAUUCUACCCAGAUCCCACCCAAACACAGAGCAACACCAACCUUUCAUCAAACACCUUGAAUUUGGAUUCUUCAAAGCGCAUGAUCACUCUUGAUCAACAAUCUCCCCCUAUUUGAUGAAGACAAAUCCUUGGUUGCUUGUGUUGAUCUUGAUUGAAUCUGAAACACCACCUGCAAAAUAAAAGAACUAUGCAAUCUAGAGCAUCUCUCAUAGCAGGUUAUGAUGGCACAAAAACUAGUUUUCUACAUAGCCAUAACAGUAGAAAAAUCAGCCCAAAAACUAAGCUAAAACAUACCAAACAACAACUCCAUACCAAACCAGAAUGCAGCAGAAAUUAAAAAACAUAGCUAUGCAGUUUAAGACAACACAUAAACCAUAUUCUCCCCCUAUUUGUGCCAUCAUAACCUGCUAUGAGAGAUUCUCUAGAAGAGUUGAAAACAUAAUAGUCCAAAAUAAAGCAAUACACACAUAGAAAGAACAACAAAGACUUGUCUUCCAAGCUUCACAAUCGGUUGUUUC